GGAGGGGGCGAGCGUUAUUCGGAAUUAUUGGGCGUAAAGGGCGCGUAGGCGGCCGGAUAAGUCAAAGGUGAAAUCCCUCGGCUCAACUGAGGAACUGCCUUUGAAACUGUUUGGCUCGAGUCCGGGAGGGGGUAGCGGAAUUCCCAGUGUAGCGGUGAAAUGCGUAGAUAUUGGGAGGAACACCAGUGGCGAAGGCGGCUACCUGGACCGGUACUGACGCUGAUGCGCGAAAGCGUGGGGAGCAAACAGGAUUAGAUACCCUGGUAGUCCACGCUGUAAACGAUGGGUGCUCGGUGUCGCGGGUAUCGACCCCUGCGGUGCCUUAGCUAACGCGUUAAGCACCCCGCCUGGGGAGUACGGUCGCAAGGCUG
rnacentral:rRNA from 1 species